CACGGUUUGCUUAGGACAUAUCAGAAGCGUCUUCCUCGAGUUCAGAUUUUUUCUGCUCAAGGGGCUGCCCGCUGCAGAGCCCUACGGAGCGAUACCAGCAGCUUCAGUGGGUUUUUUUUUGGCAGCAGCCCUCUGCUACUUCUCCCAGGGCAGCAAAAGAAGUUGGGGGCAAAGUGGAAAAGGUCUGCUUCCACCCCAGCCCCCGUUUAUGUCAAAAAUCUGCAAGGGAAAAGCUAGAGCGAUGAGGAAAAUGCUCAUGUUCCCUCCUCAUUAACAUUAAAGGUCUGGAUGUAAACCAGAUGUAAAUGGGCUCUGCUGCAGAGGGUAUUUUCUGCCACGUUUUGGGGCCAGAUCUGACCGCCCCCAGUUCCUGCUGAAAGCAACGUGGGCAUUCAGCUCCGCAGCCAACCGCUGUGCAGCACGAGAGCCAGGGACCACAGCGAGGAGCCUCAAAAAUGGGAACUGCCAGCAAAGGCCACGGCCCUGAGCUGCACUCCCCCCGAAGAGGAGGGCUGAAGAGCAAGCGAGUGGGAAGGUUCAGAGCAGAACCAAAGCACCCCAGCAUCCAAAAUGCAAUGCACAAAGCAACACAGGUUGCUGCCAGGCCCAUAAGGCACCCAGCACCUGAGAAAGCAUCUCUAGGAGGUGAGUGGGGUGCGAGACAAAGUCGGGGAUGUCCCCUGGAGAAUGGGUGGGAGAUGGAGGUGAAGCUGAGCUGGGGCGUUUGGGUGCUCUGCAGCCAGUUCAAAGGCUCUGCUGUAGGGCUGUGCGUCACUUGCAGAGAGAGAGAAUAUUGUUUUUGGAGAAGGGAGGAGGAGGGGGAAGCCAGGAGUGGGGAAGGAGGAGGAAAAAUUUGGUGAAGGAGGAGGGGCGGUUCGCAUGGCUCCUGAGCACCUGCAUAGUGCGUGGCAGGAAGGAGGCAGGGGGACCCUGCCCUGCAGACAGGCUGCUUUUGUUGCAUCCCAAACGGGCCUCAAUUAAGUCUGACAGAAAGAGGGCAG
ensembl:lncRNA